UCUACCAAAGGAUAAUAGAACUCCGUUGGUCUUAGGCACCAAAUCUCUUGGUGCAAAUCCAAGUGGUAGAA
rnacentral:tRNA from 1 species